GGGAGGCCGGUCUCUCUCUUCCCUGUGACUACCUAAAACGUUGCUUCGGCGGGAACAGACGGCCCUGUAACAACGGGCCGCCCCCGCCAGAGGACCCCUAACUCUGUUUUUAUAAUGUUUUUCUGAGUAAACAAGCAAAUAAAUUAAAACUUUCAACAACGGAUCUCUUGGCUCUGGCAUCGAUGAAGAACGCAGCGAAAUGCGAUAAGUAAUGUGAAUUGCAGAAUUCAGUGAAUCAUCGAAUCUUUGAACGCACAUUGCGCCCGCCAGUAUUCUGGCGGGCAUGCCUGUUCGAGCGUCAUUACAACCCUCAGGCCCCCGGGCCUGGCGUUGGGGAUCGGCGGAAGCCCCCUGUGGGCACACGCCGUCCCUCAAAUACAGUGGCGGUCCCGCCGCAGCUUCCAUUGCGUAGUAGCUAACACCUCGCAACUGGAGAGCGGCGCGGCCAUGCCGUAAAACACCCAACUUCUGAAUGUUGACCUCGAAUCAGGUAGGAAUACCCGCUGAACUUAAGCAUAUCAAUAAGGCGGAGGA
rnacentral:rRNA from 1 species